AUUACAGGCAUUUAGCAGACGCUCUUAUCCAGAGCGACUUACACAACUUCAAGGUGCAGAGGUGCAGAAAAACACACUAGAGUGAAGUAAAGAUCGUAGUGCCAGAAGUGACCACAUAGAUCAGGACUCCAACCCAGUAGGGUAACCUGUUCAGCAAACAAACAAACAAUCCUGCCAAGUACAAACUAGCACUGAAAUCACAUUUGCCUAAUCAGAA